AUCGAUAAUUUGGUUGCUCCACGUCAUGAUGACGUUGUAGCCAUUCCUUCCUACCGCAUGUAAAAUAUCUCUACAGUAAAAAAAGCCACGAAUCGGCGCCUCCGACCAAGCCAGUCCGCCGCCGGCAACACCGGUGAGACGUCACCUCCUGGCGAGCUUCCAUCAAGUUCGCGAGCGACGCACGGCCCUAAGCCCCCAUGGCGGCCCCUCGCGAUGCCGGCGGCGAGAUCUGGCGGGCCGGCGUUUGCCUUGUGCCUGGGCUAUCAAGAUAAGUUCAAGUGUGACGUGUACAUGCAGGUAGACGCCCACAUCGUGAACGAGCAAUUCCCUCUGGUGGAUGGGAAGAUGUCUCUCAACUCUCGAGGUACUCCUGUGUGCAUGACUGUUUAAUUGUCAGACAUGAUUGAUUUAUAUGCUAACUUGGAAUUAGAACAUCACAAGAAUCGUUGCUAUCAGGGGGCACCGAUUUAAAAUAGUGAUGUACUAACCAGUACUGGUGGUCAUGUUAUGAUCUUACUAUGCAUGAUUUGAAUCUUCUGUUGCACAUCCUUCUUAUGAGUUGGUUUUCCUGCAAUCCAAUUGAUGAACUCAGAAUAUAUUCUGAGCAGGCAUGUAAUAUUUCCUGCCAUCAGCCCUGAAGGUGAGAUCAUUUUGUUUCCAUGCAGCUACAAGUGAUAGCCAUUCAAUUAAGGUUCUGCCUUUUAUUUGUAGAACUCAUGGUUCCAUUUUUUAUUUUUAUAAUUCAUGGUUCAAUUUUUUAUUUGUUCUAUUUGAUUUACUUUGAUCGGUGGCUGAAGAACAGCCAGCGCAUUUCAGCUAUGGAUGGUGAUGCGGCUGUGAUGAAAAGGAAUGAAUUCCAGAUGAUGAUGGCAUGAUCACGGUGGAUGUUCAUCCUCCUGUGGGGUUGAAAUUGAAUACUUGGAGACUGACUGACAUGCUGGAGAAGAGGGCAAUGGAAGCUCAAAUGGUGGAUGAGUAUGUGGAUAUUGGUGAUGAGAUGCCGACAAUGAAUUACCAUUGGCAAUAAUUUUUUCAUGGCUGCAAGAUCCGUCAAGAUCCAGUUGACAUUUUGCUCGGAAAUAGAGAUUGGCUAGGAGACCGAAUAAAUGCACAAGAUGAAAAAUAUGGGAUAAAGAGGCUGAAGUGGAGACCAUUAACAAAAGGAGCUCUGAACUUGAGAACAGAUUAAGCAGAGGUUGGUGCUUGGCAGCAAAGGGCCAAGUACUUCUUGGAGUGAAGGAUGUAUGUACUCAUCGGAGCAAGGUUUUUAAGGAAGGUUGUGGUGAUAGCAAGGUAGACACACAACGUCCUGUUGCAACAGCGGUCCUGCCAAUUUGCAACUGAUGCUGAUGGGUAACAGGUAACCCAAAGAUUUGACGCCCUGCAGGUUCUGUAAGUCAAGUGAGGCAUGCAUACUCUUGUUGCAGUGACGGUAUCUUUGCCUAUGCAAGGAAUGCGAGAGGAGGAUGAAUUUCUGCCCCCCUCGCCGGUCCUCAAGAUACUUGGCAUGGAAAUAUUUAUAUACGUAGAAUAGAAUUUAUGUACCACAUGAGUACCUUACGAGAUAUUGCUAAGUUAAUACUUCAAUCUUUUUCUAAACUGUAGAACAUAAAUAUGUAAUGAGUUAUAAGCCAUUCUCUUAUACCCAAGCUACUUCUAAUAUAAUUGUUUUUCAAAAUCAAAGAAUGUAAAUUUCCCAUCAGCUAUCA